rnacentral:rRNA from 1 species
UACGUAGGGGGCAAGCGUUGUCCGGAUUUAUUGGGCGUAAAGAGCGUGUAGGCGGUUAGGUAGGUCCGUUGUGAAAACUCGAGGCUCAACCUCGAGACGCCGAUGGAAACCAUCUAACUAGAGUCCGGAAGAGGAGAGUGGAAUUCCUGGUGUAGCGGUGAAAUGCGCAGAUAUACAGGAAGAACACCCGUGGCUAAGGCGGCUCUCUAGUACGGUACUGACGCUGAGACGCGAAAGCGUGGGGAGCGAACAGG